rnacentral:rRNA from 1 species
AACGAACGCUGGCGGCAUGCCUAACACAUGCAAGUCGAACGAGACCUUCGGGUCUAGUGGCGCACGGGUGCGUAACGCGUGGGAACCUGCCCUUAGGUUCGGAAUAACUCCCCGAAAGGGGUGCUAAUGCCGGAUAAUGUCUUCGGACCAAAGAUUUAUCGCCUUUGGAUGGGCCCGCGUUGGAUUAGCUAGUUGGUAGGGUAAAAGCCUACCAAGGCGACGAUCCGUAGCUGGUCUGAGAGGAUGAUCAGCCACACUGGGACUGAGACACGGCCCAGACUCGUACGGAAGGCAGCAGUGGGGAAUACUGGACAAUGGGCGAAAGCCUGAUCCAGCAAUGCCGCGUGAGUGAUGAAGGCCUUAGGGUUGUAAAGCUCUUUUAGACGGGAUGAUAAUGACAGUACCGGGAGAAUAAGCUCCGGCUAACUCCGUG